UAGAGUUUGAUCAUGGCUCAGAUUGAACGCUGGCGGCAGGCCUAACACAUGCAAGUCGAGCGGAAACGACACUAACAAUCCUUCGGGUGCGUUAAUGGGCGUCGAGCGGCGGACGGGUGAGUAAUGCCUAGGAAAUUGCCUUGAUGUGGGGGAUAACCAUUGGAAACGAUGGCUAAUACCGCAUAAUGCCUACGGGCCAAAGAGGGGGACCUUCGGGCCUCUCGCGUCAAGAUAUGCCUAGGUGGGAUUAGCUAGUUGGUGAGGUAAUGGCUCACCAAGGCGACGAUCCCUAGCUGGUCUGAGAGGAUGAUCAGCCACACUGGAACUGAGACACGGUCCAGACUCCUACGGGAGGCAGCAGUGGGGAAUAUUGCACAAUGGGCGAAAGCCUGAUGCAGCCAUGCCGCGUGUAUGAAGAAGGCCUUCGGGUUGUAAAGUACUUUCAGUUGUGAGGAAGGGGGUAGCGUUAAUAGCGCUGUCUCUUGACGUUAGCAACAGAAGAAGCACCGGCUAACUCCGUGCCAGCAGCCGCGGUAAUACGGAGGGUGCGAGCGUUAAUCGGAACUACUGGGCGUAAAGCGCGUGCAGGUGGUUCAUUAAGUCAGAUGUGAAAGCCCGGGGCUCAACCUCGGAACUGCAUUUGAAACUGGUGAACUAGAGUACUGUAGAGGGGGGUAGAAUUUCA
rnacentral:rRNA from 1 species